rnacentral:rRNA from 1 species
GAGGAAUAUUGAUCAAUGGGCGGAAGCCUGAACCAGCCAUGCCGCGUGCGGGAAGGAGGCCCUAUGGGCUGUAAACCGCUUUUGCGCCGGAGCAAUAAGGGCGUCGAGCACGCCCGACGAGAGUACGGCGCGAAUAAGCAUCGGCUAACUCCGUGCCAGCAGCCGCGGUAAUACGGGGGAUGCGAGCGUUAUCCGGAUUUAUUGGGUUUAAAGGGUGCGUAGGCUGCGCUUCAAGUCAGGGGUGAAAUGCCGCCGCUCAACGGCGGAGCUGCCCUUGAUACUGGGGCGCUGGAGUACGGAUGCCGCCGGAGGAAUGAGUGGUGUAGCGGUGAAAUGCAUAGAUAUCACUCAGAACACCGAUUGCGAAGGCAUCUGGCGAAUCCGUCACUGACGCUGAGGCACGAAAGCGUGGGGAUAGAAC